GGGCGUGUAGCUCAGCUGGUCAGAGCGCACGGUUCACAUCCGUGAGGCCACAGGUUCGAGUCCUGUCACGCCCACCA
rnacentral:tRNA from 1 species